GCCAGCGUAGCUCAGUGGUAGAGCAGUGUCUUCAUAAGGCAUUUGUCGCAGGUCCGAUCCCUGCCGCUGGCACUA
rnacentral:tRNA from 1 species